rnacentral:rRNA from 1 species
CCCUUAGAUGUUCUGGGCCGCACGCGCGCUACACUGACGGAGGCAGCGAGCGUGUCCUUCGCCGGCAGGUGCGGGCAAUCUUGCGAGUCUCCGUCGUGCUGGGGAUAGAUGGUUGCAAUUGUCGAUCUUGAACGAGGAAUUCCUAGUAAGCGCGAGUCAUCAGCUCGCGCUGAUUACGUCCCUGCCCUUUGUACACACCGCCCGUCGCUACUACAGAGUGCCCGUGUCCAAGAAACGGUCGGACCUGUGCGGCCUCUCCGGGCGACCGGAGGGCUGUUACGGGGAAGACCCUUUAUUUGACGCGGGUCGAUGAAGUAAAAGUCGUAACA